GUAUCCAUACACCAAAUGUAUCACACACCAACUCAUUCAUAUGCCCACACAUGAUAGCCAAGCCAAUACAUACAGUUAUUACCCACACACCAACUCAUUAAUCUUAAUCAAGCCACACAUAUUAAAUUAUUAUCCACACAGCAACUCAUAUACAUAUGCAUACACAAUGACCAAGCCACACACACACACACAUUAAAAUGCGCAUUUGUCAAGGGGCCAUGUCUCGACACACUGUAAAACCCCAUUGAACCUGUAAACGUUACCAGCUUCCACUGUGGCUUCGGCAACUUGCCCGCCAUAAUGCAGCCGUAGAACUGAACUAUUUCUGUUGUUAAACCACAGCACUGCUUCCUGGAGCUCCCCUUUCUCCCAGAAGAUGCUGACAGUGGUGUCACCCCGGGCCCUCAGCCCUUUGACACACCCUUCAGGCCACUUGUCGCGUGGAAGCGCGGGCAGUAGAUGCAGGUCAGCGGGAGUGCUCUGAAGCAACAUUUCAGCGAUCGCAGCUGAGAAUCUGCAGGACGG
rnacentral:lncRNA from 1 species